rnacentral:rRNA from 1 species
CCUACGGGCGGCAGCAGUGAGGAAUAUUGGUCAAUGGUCGGGAGACUGAACCAGCCACGCCGCGUGAGGGAUGAAGGUACAGAGUAUCGUAAACCUCUUUUGUCAGGGAACAAAGGCGGGGACGCGUCCCCGGAUGAGUGUACCUGAAGAAAAAGCAUCGGCUAACUCCGUGCCAGCAGCCGCGGUAAUACGGAGGAUGCGAGCGUUAUCCGGAUUUAUUGGGGUUAAAGGGUGCGCAGGCGGUCUGUUAAGUCAGCGGUCAAAGCCCGGGGCUCAACCCCGGCCCGCCGUUGAAACUGGCAGUCGCGAGUUGGAGAGAGGUAUGCGGAAUGCGCGGUGUAGCGGUGAAAUGCAGAGAUAUCGCGCAGAACUCCGAUUGCGAAGGCAGCAUGCCGGCUCCACACUGACGCUGAGGCACGAAAGCGUGGGUAUCGAACAGGAUUAGAUACCCCUGUAGUC